UAGUUUUAUGGACACAAAUCUUCUUUCUCCAAGUCCAAGUGAAAAUAGUGAAGUGUCAACUAAGUCGACUGAAAGCGUUAGCGGCGAUUAUACUCUUGACGAAACUUCGACAUUUCGGAGCAAGUUUACAUGCUUUUUUGAGUUUAAAAUUAUUGACAAAAUAAACAAAUUAGCGACAUGCAAAUUAUGUAACAAACGAAAAAUUAAAAGUGAGUUUAAAGUAAAACUUUCCGUUACAACUACUUUAAAAAGGCACUUAUUAAGUAAACAUCCAAAGGAAUAAGGUACUAUUUUUCCAAAGCUGUCUCAACCUGGAACUAGCAAAGCUGGACCACUUCAUAAUUUCUUAACAAUUAAGAAAUCCGUGAAUGAACCUAAAGAUCAAAACUUUAUCGUUGAUUGGGUGGCCACUAAAUACCUACCUUUUUCGUUUUUUGACGACGAAGCAACAAGGAACUUCUUCGAUCAAAUCAAACCUGGAAUAAACCUGCCUGGACGAAAAGCUUUAAAGAGAAUGGUUGUGUCCCGUUUUGAACAGGAUCAAAAAAAA
rnacentral:lncRNA from 1 species